CCUGCGGAAGGAUCAUUACCGAGUGUAGGGUUCCUAGCGAGCCCAACCUCCCACCCGUGUUUACUGUACCUUAGUUGCUUCGGCGGGCCCGCCAUUCAUGGCCGCCGGGGGCUCUCAGCCCCGGGCCCGCGCCCGCCGGAGACACCACGAACUCUGUCUGAUCUAGUGAAGUCUGAGUUGAUUGUAUCGCAAUCAGUUAAAACUUUCAACAAUGGAUCUCUUGGUUCCGGCAUCGAUGAAGAACGCAGCGAAAUGCGAUAACUAGUGUGAAUUGCAGAAUUCCGUGAAUCAUCGAGUCUUUGAACGCACAUUGCGCCCCCUGGUAUUCCGGGGGGCAUGCCUGUCCGAGCGUCAUUGCUGCCCAUCAAGCACGGCUUGUGUGUUGGGUCGUCGUCCCCUCUCCGGGGGGGACGGGCCCCAAAGGCAGCGGCGGCACCGCGUCCGAUCCUCGAGCGUAUGGGGCUUUGUCACCCGCUCUGUAGGCCCGGCCGGCGCUUGCCGAACGCAAAUCAAUCUUUCCAGGUGACCUC
rnacentral:rRNA from 1 species